UUUUAUCGAAAAGAAGACCAAAGUCAUCUAUUCGAGAUACAUAGAGCAGUAUGUAGAUACAUAUGUAUGUAUACUGGUAUAGGUUUACGAAGAAUCGUACUUUGUGCCAUAGCGCUAGCUGGGGGGCAGAAUCUUCUCUCUGCUCUUCUUCACGAUACAUACAUAGUAGCAAUUUCGCUGGUGUUGGUGUUUGGGGUAUUUCAUGACGACAGAUGAGUUGAAUAAGUUAAUCUUUUCGAUUACCGAAACUACAUUAUUUCUAGUUUAUCAAAGGAGAGAAAACUUUUGGUGACUUGCAACUACAUAACACGAAUUCAUGCAGUGAUUAUACUCUAUCAUUCCUGUAGUUAUCAGCCUCGUUCGAUGAAUGACGGUGCAUUGAUAGAUGGUAGUAGAUAUUAAUUCCGGUCGGCAGGGGUUGAACGUAUCAGCUAUUUCGUGUCUAAAGAAUUAAGAGACUUCCCCUUUCGCAGCUGGCAAGUUAAGCUCGCAUCCGGACGUGAGACGAAGCGGAAGGAAGGGGACGUGUGACGUCGCGAUUAAACUGAAUUGAACGAGCUUACUCAAUUAUACCUGGAGAUAUGUAGGAGUACCUUGAGACAGAGAGAAAGAGAGAAAGAAUAAUUUCAAAAUGUCAGGCUGCACUAAAAGUUGAAAAGCCUCGUGUAAACGGGCUUUACACAACGAUAUCGAAGCUUUUUCAAAUGAUCGUCUAGUCAUCGAGUCGUUGUACGGUGCAGUAGUUGUGCGUGCCUUUUUAAAAGCAUCUUGAACGAGACGAGGUUCGAUAAUAUGAUUAAUAACUCGUCUCGUAGGCAUCGUCAAGGGAAAUCGUCCUACACAUGGGUGUAUUUUUGCCGUAUAUUCUACAUAUAUAUAUUAUGUAUCUAUACGUGAUGUAUAUUACGUAAUUAUAAUCGAUGGUUAGAAACCUUAACGAUGGUUAGAAUGCUUUAAUUAAAAUGGUCCCGGAUUGAAUCCGAGAGGUUUUUCUAAAAGGAAAAAAACUGCGUUGAUUGCGAUGAAAUAUGCUAAAAAUAAUUGUUAUUCAAGUUUCAGACGCAUCAUUUUUAAACGAUAUCUUCUUCGUUGGGUAGAUUUGUUUUCUUCGCUCGAAAUAGUCUCCUCGUUGUCUCAAGGUCUAUUCUUAUCUUAAGUACACAGGUAUUCGUCAUCUUCCGUUUUUCAAUUUCCAAACAAGCUAACGUAUAGACGCAUUUUCGAUCAAUGGAUUUCCUGCUGUUAGUCCUUGGAUAAGUUGAAAACGUCACACGAAAACAGCGAUCUAUGAAUGGAAACGAGUCUCGGAUCAGUCGGCAAGCAAGGACGACUAAUUAUAGCGUUAGUAUCUUUCAGCUUCGUUUUGAACGUUAACCACGCAUCGUCGAUGCAUACAUAUUUACAUAUGUAUAUGUAUAUGUAUGUAAGAGAGGCCUCUGUUUCUCGUGCUACGUGUAUAAAAUCACUUUCACGUGUUAUGAAACAGCCUGUAUACGCGUAUACGUAUUUAUCUACAGAUAUAUCGUGGAACGUUCAAUUCCGAGAUGGUAGGUACUCCUGCAAAUAGAGGACGUGACCCAGUUCGCGAUGGUGACGUAAAUUCAGGAAGGACACGCGAAUCACUAGCCUCUCUCCCUUCCAUCCUUUUUCUCUUUUGCAUCCCGUUACUCUCGAAUCCAGCGGAUGCCUCCUUACCUACUUUCGAGAUACGAUUCAA